UACGUAGGGACCGAGCGUUGUCCGGAAUCAUUGGGCGUAAAGAGCGUGUAGGCGGCUAUUUAAGUCCUGCGUGAAAUCCUGCGGCUCAACCGCAGACGGUCGUGGGAAACUGGAUGGCUAGAGUGCGGGAGAGGAGAGUGGAAUUCCCGGUGUAGCGGUGAAAUGCGCAGAUAUCGGGAAGAACACCCGUGGCGAAGGCGGCUCUCUGGAACGCAACUGACGCUGAGACGCGAA
rnacentral:rRNA from 1 species